ensembl:snoRNA SNORA70 Small nucleolar RNA SNORA70
CUGCAGCCAAUUAAGCCGACUGUGUUCCUUUCCUCAUGGGGGCUCAGUGUGCAAUGGCUGCACACAGUAGCUUCCUUGGUAGUGUACUCAGCCUGUUUCUUGUAUGGGUUGCUCUAAGGGACCUUGGAGACAGGC